CCAGGUGAGCUGCUGCAAGGGCGACGACCUCACAAGUCACAUUCACAACGAGUGAACCAGAGGAUAGAGGUGAGAACUUUGCAAUUAGACCGAGUAGCAGAGCUUUGCAAUUAGAAAUUUUGUAGCAAUUUUUUCACAAUUGAUAUACUUUAUGUUGUUAAUUAGUGUUUAUAUCUUUAACUGUAGAUCAUAGAGCUUUGCACCUUUAUUAGAGUUGAACAGCUUUGACUGCUUUGUACCUUUAUUUUUUCGAUUAUGUAUAUUGACAUAUUGUGAACUUUUUAAUGUUCAUCUGGACCUUUUUAUUUGCUAGAUGGGAAUACCCAACUCUAGAAUCCUACUCCGCCACUGAUAAUAAACACCAUGUUGAAUGCAAACGGCCUGCCUUUGCCUCCGACCCACCAUGGCGUUGGUACCGCAAAAACAGGACAACAUAGGAAUUGAUGCUGACAGAAAAAUUUACUGUUGAUGGAAGGGGGGGAAUGCAGCUUGGCAGGGAACUGAAAAAUAUAGAAAUAGGCUUCAAUGAGUGUUUCCACCUAGAAAUGAUUGUACAAACAAAACCCACUGAAGUAGUUCAAAAGUAAAGAUUCCCCGCCAAGUACAUAUCAAACAUAUUUUUAAUGUAAUGGACAAAUCACAUGAAAUUUUAAAGUAUUCUCAAAACUGUCAAUUAUGAUGAACUCCAACAAAAAUAUAUGAAAAUUGAAUGUAGUGGGCCAAUCAGGUUUCGCCGGCGCUACUAUCACAAGUCCGGUGUCGCCCCCAAGGCAGUCGGUCCCUCAGCCUUCCUGAGCGAGCAUUAUCGGUGUGAUUGCUGGGCUAAGAGAGCCUUGGCAUGUGUUGUGCCUGUUUUCCACAAUGUGCUCCCGCCCGUGUUGGCCAAAGCCCAUCUGAUCUGCUUCGAGACGGGGGAUCCACUCAGG
rnacentral:lncRNA from 1 species